UGUCUUUUCUUCUCUAAGGAUAUAGGUCAGUUACAAAGCCAGUAUUUGAUUGUGGUAUUCUGAACCAAGUCCUGUCCUUGUUCAGAACUAAAUUAGUUUUGUGUGUGUGUUGUGUGUUUUUUUUUUUUUUGUUUUUUUUUUUUCCUGUUGUUGUGAGUUCUGCAAUGAGUUGCUUCAAAAAGCAGUCAUAUAUGGUAUCAAAAACUUAUACUUUACAUUAUAUACCAUAUGAGAUUUACCCACUGUGGACUAUCUUCUCAUUUGUGGCUUAAUGGACUACUCUUGGAACAAGAUAUCCAUGAAUCAUAAUUGAACUUUUCUUCUGACCUGAAAAUAGAUCAAACAAACUUCUGAUCUUAUUUAUGCAUAUACAAUGAAUUGUAUUUACUAUUAAAAUGGAUCUCAGAGUUACUUUGAGAAACUUAAUUUCAAAAGGGCCAUGGAAAAUUUAGUCCACAGAUAAGGAAUGGAAAGAAAGCAGUAUUUAAUCUGGGAAGUAAGCAAGGUCUUCCAUAAAUUGCAGAAGCUGAUAUCAAGAGAUGUUUAAAGAUCAAAGCUAAUUUCUCCAGAGAGUGAAUACAGCCCAUAGAGAAACUGUGGAGUCCCAGAAGAGAAGAAAUAAAGUUGCCAACAGAAGAGAAGAAAAUAUUGUUAAACUUAGUGAUUACUGAGUUACAUAGGACUCAAUAACUCAAAAGGCUCCCCACUCUGAUCCCCCAAACUGCAUGAAAGUUGUUUUUACAUGGAGAACAGAGAGCUGGAUAUCGUGCUUUAAUUUAGACUUCUGUCUUUUGGUUCAGGUGGAUUUUGUAAUCUUACGUGACAACUAAAUCAAGGUUUCAAGAGAAAUGGAAGAACUAUUUCCCAAGUUAAUAAGGUUAAUUGGCACUAAAAGAAAUGAUCAUCAAGCUUGGAAUGUCAUAACAGGGAUGUCCUCAGACUGUGAAGAACCUGUCCAAGGGAAGGAGCUAGAUACCACGUACGGAAUCCAAAAAUAUUCCUGGAUAAAGCAUGUCUUCCAGAAAAGAAUCAGGUGAGUCCCCUCAUCCUAUUAGUAACAUAUUGCAGCAGUUAAUCGCAUCCAUUGUUGACAAUUCAUGCAUUUUCUCAUUUGAGUUUGUGUGAUUUUAGACUUUCUGUGUCUCUUUCUUAAUCCUUCCUUUUUGAAGUGUCAUGCAUGGUGUUUUCUCCCUGUCUCUCUUAGACAUUACUUGAAUUACUGCUACAGCUGGUGGUGGCAGAAGAAAAAAAAAAAAAAAAGUAGCUUGUAAGGUUGUAAGGUCUGUCACCAUAAGGAGUUACUAUGCCCUGUCUGUCAGAAAAUGUACCUAAUUACUACCAACAUGUCUGAUCCUGUAAUACUUAAAGCUUCCAACUUUCUAUAAGCCUAUUCCAACUUGCAUUUUCAACAAUGCCUUUAACAUCAUCAUAUAAAUGUAUGAUAAAAAUAUAUAGCCCAUAUAAAGAUAUGGGAUAUAUCCCAUAGUUUUUAUGUUAAUAUUGACGUAUUUUCUAUUUCCCUCUUGCAGUUUUGUUAUUACUGUUAGGUACUGUACUCACAUUGCCCAGGAUGUACUUUCAGAUGUAAUCCUUAUGUUGAUAAGGAACCGUUAUCUGAUGAUUCUUGCUCUGUCACAGCUACCUUAUUUUUAAAGAAUUUUCAAAUAUCUUUUGAAAUCUUUCUCUUUAAACAUUGUUUUCUAACCUGUUUUAGUUAGAUUUUCAGUAAAAUCACUCUUUUGGAAAAUUAUGUGUUAUUGUAAUUCUUAAUAGUUGGGACUGUGCUCUUUUACUUUAUGUAAAAAUGGACAGGCUGCAUUUUUGCUGUUGCUCUGUAAGCUCCAAAACAAUAUUCAGUUCCAUUAUUGAUUAAUCUUUAUUCAACAUAAUGAUGUACAAAUUAAAUUAGAAUUGCAUUUAAAAGCAGUGCAUUUGAGCCCAAAAGUUAUCUACUGCAUUUAGCAUUGCUAUUAUUCUACAAUUUGGUAUCUUGUAUAUGCUAAUCAAAUUGUAUUUCCCAAAAUACAGGUUUUCUUUAUGCAAGCUAGAUACUUAAGAAUUACCUUGUCCUGGUAAUUUUUUUAAAGUAUAUGUUUGAGCUUUCUUAAUUACCAGAGUUUUCUAAAUAUGUUUUUAUUUAAUAAUUACUGUGAUUUGCAUACAUUAAGGUUCUGGUUACCAGUACUUGAUUUAGUUACAGAAGUUUAUAGCAAAGACUGACUCCCUCCCGUCUUGACCUUUAUCUCCCUGGUGACUUUUUAUCAUUGCAAUAAUCUGACUUGUUCUGCUGGGUUUCAGGCAAUGCUUUUGCUCUUCAUGAGUCAUAACAAUUCUUUCCUUAGCAAAAUAACUGGCAGUGGUUAUAUAAGUGGUACAGUAGAACUCCUCUCUAUUCCUUGUCAGCUCCGCUGAACCUGUUUGCAAUCUGCUGAGUAGGAGUUUGCAUGACAGUUGUCAUCUCAGCACCCUUGUCUCCCUGUUGCUAAUGCAACAGCCUCCUUGAUGUCCAGCUAGUCUCUGAGAUCAUUAGCUCAUUAUCAUCAUCACUGGAGAAGCAGCCUGUUCUCCUUGUCAAGCCUCCUCCCUUAUGGAAAUGUUGUGCGCUGUUUUGCAAAAACAAAUCUUUCACUUUGCACCAGCCAGGCAAAUAGCAGUAUGGCUGCAGCACUCUCAGUAACAAAUUAUGCUGCAAGAAUAGCUCUAUAACUUCGUUAGUACCCGGAAAUCUUCUGUUACUGAAGUUGGUCUCUGACAGCUAUGUCUGUCAUUAGAGGCAGCUUGUAAUUGUAUAAUUCCAUGCAAUUUACAGAUGCGUUUUUACUUCUACUCCAGGCAGGUAAUGCCCCCACUUUAGCUGUAGUAUGCUUCCAGCUCUUUUUCUCCUGUCUGUGAUUUACUGUGUAAGCAGAUACAUCUCUUAACUGAAGAGCCUACAAAUUAGAAAGGUAUAUUUUAGUUUAAACAGUACUUCUCAGGAUUGAUUCUUACUUCAGAGUUUACUUAACCUCUAACACUAAGAUGAGUGGAAAUUCACUACUAACUCUCAAUAUAUAUUUCAAUAGCUAGUUUUCCCUCAUGGUUAAAUGAAUGAUUCAAAUGAGUGGAGGUGAAUUGACUAUUAGAGGCCAACAGCUAUGUAUGAAAAUUUACUCUGUUAAUAUUCUCUAUCUAACUCCAAACAAAACCCUACAAAAAUGAGUACAGGAUGAGCAUGGCAGCUGGAGAUAGAACCUAAAACGUGAUAGACCCCUUAAUUACUAAUCUACUGAAUGGCUCUCAUACCUACAAAUGAAAGUCUAACACGUUUUUGUAGCUCAUUUGCCUUUAUAAGCAUUUUUAAGGGUACAGCCUUGAAAAAUGUAUUUCCAGAAAUUUGCAGAAGCUACAUCCUAUUACUGAUCCUAUAUGAAGAAGAAAUGUUGUUCCUGGUGUGUUAGUUACCAGAAAAGACACCUUACAGCCUGGCAAGAUGAUGGUAUUUCUGUACAUCAGCCAGGCAAAACUCAGGCAAUACACAAAGAGACUUCUCAAGUAGUAACCGGGCUCCCCACAUCGAAGAGUGUUGCUCUUUGCUUGCUUUAGGACAAAAAACAACCCACCUUAAUUAGACGUAAGUUCUUCUGAUAGCAGGAUUUAUAGAAGGUUUCAAACCGAAAGUUUAGAAACCAUUAAAAUUGUACAGCCACACGUGACAACAAGAAGCCCUCGCACUCAAAUAUAUAUCUAUUAAUUGGUUUAGGAGACUGUUAUUCCAUGCCUGUUAUCAAAUAAGCUGGGCAGUCCAUGACACUCAGUGGUUCAUACAGAGAGGUAACGUGGCCUCUGAAUUCUUGUUUCCACAAACUCACAAGCAAAGUAGUAAACUGGUAGCUUUCACAUUUGGGUAGCCCUUGCAUGCCAAGAAGAGAUGCAUUAGGAAGCACCCCUUCUUCUGAGAAUUAAUCUAGCCUGACAGAACAUAGGCAGCAGCACUGACCUUCACUCACAACUUCAGUUUGAUGCUUCUUUUUUGUUUUCUAAAUGAAACAGCAGUACACAGCUGGCACAAGAUAUCCUAGAACUUUUCUUAUUCUACAUCAUUAUUUUUUUCAUGUUACUGUCAUGUAUAUGUAAGCAUUAACAUUUAUAUUCCUUAAACAAAACAGAAUUUUGAAGAGGAUAAUAGCUUUCAGUUUUGGAAAUGAAUGUAAGGCUUCGCUGAAGACUGAUAUAUAGUGUUUUGAAUUAUAAAAUGUGCUUUUGAACAGGGAAGAGAACAGUUUGCUUUAUGAAGCUAACUCUAUAGUGAUCCUUUAACAAAGUUUUGUUUUAUAGAAUCAUUUAGGUUCAUCUAAGAUGCUUUAUACUGAAUGUUAUUUUUUAAUGCCAUAUAAAAGUAUUUAUCUAAAAUCAAAGAUGCUGAUUUUUCCCAGAACACUUGAUUGGAGCCUGAAAUCUUUGUGGUAUGGCUUUGUUUUUAUGUUUUCCAUUCUGAAAUGAGAGUUUUCCCCUUGCUGUAAUAUACCUAUGAUAUACUCAACAUUCAACAGUAAUGAAACUUAAUGACUGGUACUCUACAUAAACAACAAGCUGUUUCAGAUAAUGAAACCGACUUUUUGAAACACUUCUUCAAUUGCAGAUAGGUCUAAGAAAUCACUGCUUUGAAGGGUAUGCUGGAAGAAAGUAUUCCUUUAGGAAGCUGUAUGCUUUCACACUUACAUAUGUUUCUGAUUCUUUUAGCAAUAAGUGUAAAGCUUGUGCUUUUGGCUCCACCGUGGAGCUAGCAAUUGUAACUGCAACUGCACUGUUGACAUCAUGCGACUUGAAUCCUAUUUAAAACUUAAAUGUCUUCAUAUUACUAUCUCUAGCCUGCUGAUUUGUUCCAUAACUUCAGAGAGUCACGAGACAUUUUCAAAGCAUAUGGUGUUCUAUCAUGAAAUAGUUAGGAAGAGCAGACAGAUUGCUAAACUAUCAAAAGAAAUAAUUAUAUGUUACUUCAUUUUGUAAAUUUUAUUUAGAAAUACAAAUAGGAUGAAAACUUUUCUUUUAAAUUCUCAGGUACGCAUCCAUUUUCUUACUUUGCUAUCCAUCAAGCAAAUUCUUUCUGAACUUUCUGAAGUUCUUUAACAUCCUCAUCAAUUUUCUAUGCUUAUGAACUUCUGGUACUCAUAUAAAUGUGCUUUCUACCUAAACCAUCUUAGGUAUGUAUCUCAAAAUUGGUCUGCUUUUGUGAAGCUUUUGGAUGUUGUUGUCACCCUGAAAACUUGUAUAGUAUAUGUUUCAUGUUUCAUAUUCUGCCAUGUCUACAUUAGCUUUGGCUUUUAAAUUCUACUGCUGUCUUCCACAAAGGGAAUAAUUUUUUUUUUUACAUGCCCUUAAGGAAAAAAAAA